rnacentral:lncRNA from 1 species
AAACCCUUGACCCUUGCGUCCCGAUGGGAUCUGAGUUCCCACUGAACCCAAGUCUCCGCAACUCUGCCUAGAAGGAACCUGAAACUACGGAGCACCGCCAUGAAUUGCCUGACAGCGCAUCGCGGAUUUUCACAUUACUGACUCGAGUCUCGGAGGACACUUUCCCAGUGCGAUCGAACCAGCGAGCGGAGCUUUACGCAUCAAAAUCAGGACUCAAAAUACCUCGCUGAAGUGGACGAACUAAAUCCUAAAAGGCGAUCAUCUGAAGCUUGAAUCAUUGCAACUGAUUCAGAGUAUGUCGUUAAGGGACUGACCGAAUGGCUGCCAACACGGAGGAGGAAAAACUGGCGUACGGCCAAAGGCACGAACCUAGACCUAUUUCUCGCCCUUGAUGACUUUGGAUAUCAAGGUUCGUCAUCAUACUUUUCGCAAACUGUCGUAAUUUGUAGGGUGCAAAAUUUAGACUUUAUCUAGCCAAGAUAAUUUCCCCCCAACACGAGCUAAUAGUCUUAUAAGCGAGCACUUCAUAAAGUGAAUACCACUCAACUCACGUAUGAAACUGAGGAAGUGCCGUCUGGAUGACCUAUGCUCCCCAGAAUAAAACCAAUACAAUUCUGUAUGGAGUAGUCACAGGCUAAAUACGAAAUUAGUGCUUAUAUCAUAAAAUAUAACCAAUACAAUUCUGUAGUCACGGGCUAAACAAGAAUUAGUGCUUAUA